GAAUCAACGGAAAUAGAUUUUCCAAAAGAAAAAAAAAUUGAUUUCUCUUUCUUUUUUUUCCCCUCAGUUUUUCCAGGUAAUAACACUUUUUUUUCCUGUAUUCAUGAUCUUUUGAUGUGUAAAAACACACACACAUGAUGAUGAUGAUGAUGAUGAUAAUCAAACAAAGUGACAGUUGCACUUGUUUUAGGGUAAAAUUUUUAUUACCGAAAAAUAAAUGAAUCCAGGAUGUUUGUAUUUUAUAACAACUAACGUACCAUAAAGGUGAAAUUUUGGAAUAUUUCCCAUCGGAGGAUUAUUGAAAUGCGAAUCAUAUGAUGAUGCCGAAGAAGAAGAAGAUGCGGAUGAUGAUAUGGAUGUGGAUGAAUUUGAUUGCGGCUGUUUCGAUUCGACAA